GCCGGUGUAGCUCAGACGGUAGAGCGCCGCUCUUGUAAAGCGGAUGUCGCGGGUUCGAUUCCUGUCACCGGCU
rnacentral:tRNA from 1 species